GCCCUCGUAGCUCAGUACGGUAGAGCGCGCUAGCGCGGCGAGGUCGCGGGUUCAAAUCCCGCCGAGGGCUCCA
rnacentral:tRNA from 1 species